AAAGAAACAAUAACUUGUGUACCGAAAGAGGUACCAUUUUCUCAUGAAUUUAUCUUGAGUUGAGAUUCUUUGGUCAAUUCUAUCCAAUUUUGCUAACAGCAGUCCAUUUUCAAUCUUGAAUUGGUUAAAAUACAGCAACGGAAUUGUGUAUUUAUUUAAGGUGACAAUGUAUAUUAUUUAUUAAACUCUUAUGUUUUAUUGUGCUUUCUAUUCUGGCUUUGAAAUUUGGGGCUAAGAAAAAGGUUGGGAUGUUCAUUGUUCAACUAAUUUGAGAUAUUAGACGAUGCUAUUGAUGUAAUGAAAUUGGAAGAUGCUGUAAUUCAAAACAUGGUAAAGUCUCUGAUUUGUAUUCACAAGUUGCAAUCCUUGAUUGUUUUUCAUUGUAUUGGGUUAUUUUUCAUAAUAUUGGCAAUUUUGACAAAUGUACAAUGAUUUUAACUCUACUAUAUACAUACUUGGUCACCCAUGGAAAAAGUUUGAAAAGAUAAUUCAACAAUUAUUUGGAAACCUUUCCUCAUGUUGGGAACCAAAAUGAGGUACAAGAAGCAAUGUAAAGUGUACUUCAAACAGAACUUGAGUUGUACGAGUAGGGUUAAAAUAGUAACUUCGCUUUAUUCACUCUCUCACCUCUGCUUCUACUCUUUCUUCUCUGGUUGACAACAUUGACAGCCAUUUUAAACCUUCAACGGAGUUAAACUUUACUUCAGAGUCUCACUCCAACUUCUCAAGUUCUUUCAAUUGUUUACCUGGUAAGUAUUCUUGUGUGGUAUUGACCCUCUUCCCUUGUGAAUUUUUACUCUUUUUUUCCCAUUAUUGUGUUUAUGCUUUCCUAUUAUUCUACUGAUUUUUCUUAUUUAUAGGUCUUCCACAAUUUUUCUUGGAUUCUUUUGAGUUCUCGUAGAUGCCUCUUGAAAUACAUGCAUAAUUUGUUUUCAAAUAUUUUGCAGUUUCUAGCUCUAAAAUACUAAAAAUAUUAGUAGUAUUUUAUUAUCUAUAUAUGAUACUUUUUGUAGAUAAUUAAUGGCUUGAUGCAGUCGCAUGUUUGACGGAAUUUCAUGUGAAGGUAAGACUUGUGUGUUAUGAAGAGAGAUUAGUUACAAGAGUUGAUUGUUUUGGCAGAUGAUUGAAGGUGCUAAUGAAGUUGAACGGUGGGCUUAGGUGAAUAGACAUUUUCCCUUAUAAUAUCUUUUUUUCAUAUGGUAUUUUCCCCAAAAAAAUAUUGAGUAAGAAUUUGAGUUACCGAAUUCUUUGAUGCUGCCAUGAAAUUAGAAGUGAUAACGUAAUGCUGAAAAUUCAGGGUAAGCUUUCAGUAUUGAUCUUUUUGUUGUUUGAACUACAUUUUUGAAAAAAU
rnacentral:lncRNA from 1 species